UACAGAGGGUGCAAGCGUUAAUCGGAAUUACUGGGCGUAAAGCGUGCGCAGGCGGUUUGCUAAGACCGAUGUGAAAUCCCCGGGCUUAACCUGGGAACUGCAUUGGUGACUGGCAGGCUAGAGUAUGGCAGAGGGGGUAGAAUUCCACGUGUAGCAGUGAAAUGCGUAGAGAUGUGGAGGAAUACCGAUGGCGAAGGCAGCCCCCUGGGCCAAUACUGACGCUCAUGCACGAAAGCGUGGGGAGCAAACAGG
rnacentral:rRNA from 1 species